rnacentral:lncRNA from 1 species
GCAAGGAACACGUACUUCACUGUAAGCUUUAUUGUUUAACUUUGGAACUCUUGCAUUAAUCCGCCACACCCUUAACCCCAAUUUGAAAUGGUUGUUCAUAAUGGUACCAGUGUGCAGCGAAUAGACCCAGUGGGGCUAGGAGGGUCACGAGAUCAAGCUGACAGGUGCCUUGAACAUGGACUUUUAGCAAAGAAGGCCUUUGUUUUCCAUUUGUCAUCCUUUUGCUCUUGUUGUUGCAGUGUCAUGCUUCUGUUAAGGAUAGAUAAGGGUUCUUAGAAGUCACUAUGUACUCUGUGUUCUCAGACUGUAAUGGUACAAGAUAUGUGCUCUGUGUGUUGUUAGACCUUGUAACGGUACCACCGUGUAUUCUUUGCGUUCUCAGACUUUGUUAU